rnacentral:rRNA from 1 species
CAGGCCUAACACAUGCAAGUCGAGGGGCAGCGCGUCGGGUAGCAAUACCUGAUGGCGGCGACCGGCGCAAGGGUGCGUAACGCGUGAGCAACAUGCCCGUAUCAGGGGGAUAAGCGAUGGAAACGUCGUCUAAUACCGCAUAACAACAUGGAGGACAUCCUCCGUGUUUGGAAGAUUCGUCGGAUACGGAUUGGCUCGCGAGACAUUAGCUAGACGGCGGGGUAACGGCCCACCGUGGCGACGAUGUCUAGGGGUUCUGAGAGGAAGGUCCCCCACACUGGAACUGAGACACGGUCCAGACUCCUACGGGAGGCAGCAGUGAGGAAUAUUGGACAAUGGUCGGAAGACUGAUCCAGCCAUGCCGCGUGAAGGCAGACGGUCCUAUGGAUUGUAAACUUCUUUUGUACGGGGGCAAUAAGGGUGUCGUGACGCCCGAUGAGAGUACCGUACGAAUAAGCAUCGGCUAACUCCGUGCCAGCAGCCGCGGUAAUACGGAAGGUCCGGGCGUUAUCCGGAUUUAUUGGGUUUAAAGGGAGCGCAGGCGGGCGAUUAAGCGUGACGUGAAAUGCAGCGGCUCAACCGUGUGAAGUGCGUCGCGAACUGGUUGCCUUGAGUGAGUUCGACGUCAGCGGAAUUCGUGGUGUAGCGGUGAAAUGCUUAGAUAUCACGAGGAACCCCGAUUGCGAAGGCAGCUGACGAGGCCUUUACUGACGCUAAAGCUCGAAGGUGCGGGUAUCGAACAGGAUUAGAUACCCUGGUAGUCCGCACGGUAAACGAUGGAUGCCCGCUGUUUGCGAUACACUGUGAGCGGCCAAGCGAAAGCGUUAAGCAUCCCACCUGGGGAGUACGCCGGCAACGGUGAAACUCAAAGGAAUUGACGGGGGCCCGCACAAGCGGUGGAGCAUGUGGUUUAAUUCGAAGCAACGCGAAGAACCUUACCUGGCCUUGACAUCCGGAUGAAUGCAGGGCAAUGCCUGCAGCCCGCAAGGGCAGCCGAGACAGGUGGUGCAUGGUUGUCGUCAGCUCGUGUCGUGAGAUGUUGGGUUAAGUCCCGCAACGAGCGCAACCCUUAUCUUUAGUAGCCAGCAGUAAGAUGGGCACUCUAGAGAGACUGCCGGGGAUAACCCGGAGGAAGGUGGGGAUGACGUCAAAUCAUCAUGCCCCUUAUGGCCAGGGCUACACACGUGCUACAAUGGCGUAAACAAAGGGAGGCGAAGGGGUGACCUGGAGCAAAUCCCAGAAAUAACGUCUCAGUUCGGAUUGUAGUCUGCAACCCGACUACAUGAAGCUGGAAUCGCUAGUAAUCGCGAAUCAGCAUGUCGCGGUGAAUACGUUCCCGG